UGCUACUGAGAUAAUACCUAGAGAAGUGGACGUACUCGCAGAAUAAGCAGCCAGGCUAACUCUGUGCCAGCAGCCGCGGUAAUACAGAGGGUGCAAGCGUUAAUCGGAUUUACUAGGGCGUAAAGCGCGCGUAGGCGGCUAAUUAAGUCAAAUGUGAAAUCCCCGAGCUUAACUUGGGAAUUGCAUUCGAUACUGGUUAGCUAGAGUGUGGGAGAGGAUGGUAGAAUUCCAGGUGUAGCGGUGAAAUACGUAGAGAUCUGGAGGAAUACCGAUGGCGAAGGCAGCCAUCUGGCCUAACACUGACGCUGAGGUGCGAAAGCAUGGGGAGCAAACAGGAUUAGAUACCCUGGUAGUCCAUGCCGUAAACGAUGUCUACUAGCCGUUGGGGCCUUUGAGGCUUUAGUGGCGCAGCUAACGCGAUAAGUAGACCGCCUGGGGAGUACGGUCGCAAGACUAAAACUCAAAUGAAUUGACGGUGUGCCGCACAAAGCGGUGGAGCAUGUGGUCUAUUCGAUGCAACGCGAAAAACUUACCUGGCCUUGACAUAGUAAGAACUUUCCAGAGAUGGCUU
rnacentral:rRNA from 1 species